rnacentral:rRNA from 1 species
GAUCUCAUUCGGCGGCGGCGACUCUGGACGCGCGCCGGGCUUCUCGCGGAUCUCCCAGCUACGGCGCC